AGAACGAACGCUGGCGGCAUGCCUAAUACAUGCAAGUCGAACGAAGGCUUCGGCCUUAGUGGCGCACGGGUGCGUAACGCGUGGGAAUCUGCCCCUUGGUUCGGAAUAACAGUUGGAAACGACUGCUAAUACCGGAUGAUGACGAAAGUCCAAAGAUUUAUCGCCAAGGGAUGAGCCCGCGUAGGAUUAGCUAGUUGGUGAGGUAAAGGCUCACCAAGGCGGCGAUCCUUAGCUGGUCUGAGAGGAUGAUCAGCCACGACUGGAACUGAGACACGGUCCAGACCUCCUACGGGAGGCGAGCAGGUGGGGAAUAGUUAGGACAAUGGGCGAAAGCCUGAUCCAGCCAUGCCGCGUGUGUGAGGAAGGUCUUGGAUUGUAAAGCUACGUUUAAGGU
rnacentral:rRNA from 1 species